rnacentral:rRNA from 1 species
UACGUAGGGUGCGAGCGUUAAUCGGAAUUACUGGGCGUAAAGCGUGCGCAGGCGGUUCGCAAAGUCUGAUGUGAAAGCCCCGGGCUCAACCUGGGAACUGCAUUGGAAACUAACGGGCUCGAGUGUGGCAGAGGGGGGUGGAAUUCCACGUGUAGCAGUGAAAUGCGUAGAUAUCUGGAGGAAUACCGGUGGCGAAGGCGGCAUCCUGGACCGGCAUUGACGCUGAGGAGCGAAAGCCAGGGGAGCAAACGGG